rnacentral:lncRNA from 1 species
UAACAUUGGCCAUGGAGGGGAUUGUGAAGGAAUUGAACAGUCCCAGAACCAAAUCUUUUUGGGGGUUUCAUCACUGUCGGUGGUGGAGGUUAUGGAUGCAGAUUCCAACCAAUAUGUGGGGGUAAGUUGCUGAUGAUAUUGUGGAUAAUUUCACGGCUGUGUACGAUUUUGCUCUCUUUUUUAUCCAAUUGUAUAUGGAUUCGGAGCUUAUGUUUUGGAAUUGCCAGGGAAUAGGAC